AACACUUGACAUGUUCGUCGCGACUUUAAGAGAUUAAAGUUUUCGGUUCGGCCGGACGAAACACAGGUGCUGCAUGGCUGUCGUCAGCUCGUGUCGUGAGAUGUUGGGUUAAGUCCCGCAACGAGCGCAACCCUCACUUUUAGUUGCCAUCAUUAAGUUGGGCACUCUGAAAGAACUGCCAGUGAUAAGCUGGAGGAAGGUGGGGAUGACGUCAAGUCCUCAUGGCCCUUACGUGUUGGGCUACACACGUGCUACAAUGGUAUCUACAACAGGAAGCAAGACUGCGAAGUUAAGCAAAUCCCUAAAAGAUACCUCAGUUCGGAUUGCACUCUGCAACUCGAGUGCAUGAAGCUGGAAUUACUAGUAAUCGUGGAUCAGCGUGCCACGGUGAAUGCGUUCCCGGGUCU
rnacentral:rRNA from 1 species